rnacentral:rRNA from 1 species
AUUGAACGCUGGCGGCAGGCUUAACACAUGCAAGUCGAGCGGAGAGAGGUAGCUUGCUACUGAUCUUAGCGGCGGACGGGUGAGUAAUGCUUAGGAAUCUGCCUAUUAGUGGGGGACAACAUUUCGAAAGGAAUGCUAAUACCGCAUACGUCCUACGGGAGAAAGCAGGGGAUCUUCGGACCUUGCGCUAAUAGAUGAGCCUAAGUCGGAUUAGCUAGUUGGUGGGGUAAAUGCCUACCAAGGCGACGAUCUGUAGCGGGUCUGAGAGGAUGAUCCGCCACACUGGGACUGAGGCACGGCCCAGACUCCUACGGGAGGCAGCAGUGGGGAAUAUUGGACAAUGGGCGGAAGCCUGAUCCAGCCAUGCCGCGUGUGUGAAGAAGGCCUUAUGGCUGUAAAGCACUUUAAGCGAGGAGGAGGCUACUUUAGUUAAUACCUAGAGAUAGUGGACGUUACUCGCAGAAUAAGCACCGGCUAACUCUGUGCCAGCAGCCGCAGUAAGAC